GACUCUUAGAAACGGAUAUCUUGGCUCUUAAAUCGAUAAAGAUUGCAACAAAAUGUGAUACUUGGUGUGAAUUGCAGAAUCUCAUGAAUCAUUGAGUCUUUGAAUGCAAGUUGCACCCGAAGUCAUUAGGCUGAGGGUAUGUCUGCCUGUGUUUCA